rnacentral:lncRNA from 1 species
AAAACCUCCAGUGGUUAAUGGUGGCCAGCCUGGCAGGGCCCUGACUCAGCAGCAGGGUCCAUCGGACCGGUGGGAUGCAGACGUGGAAUAUCCAGGUCAGAACCAGCACGACAGAGGGACACCCAAGGCGAGCCAGGGAAGUGAGGCAGGUACUCUACUGAAGAAAAAUCACUCUGAUCAGAAUCUUGGCGUGCCUGAGAGCAGGGGUUUCAGAGGGAGCUGGUCUCAGCAUAAGGAAAUAGACUCCAGUGACAACUCAGUGGUCUUUGGGAAGGAAUGCUCUGGACGAUGAAAGUAGCUGCCAGGGGACUUUUCAAGUUAAAGGCAACAGAGCAGGAGGUGAGUGCUGGGAAAUGAAAAUACAACGUUUUUGUGUGUUUAGCUUGUACUUAGGGUUUCUCUCAUCACAAACACAGAUGUGUAUG